rnacentral:rRNA from 1 species
CCUACGGGAGGCAGCAGUGAGGAAUAUUGGUCAAUGGGCGCGAGCCUGAACCAGCCAAGUAGCGUGAAGGAUGACUGCCCUACGGGUUGUAAACUUCUUUUGUAAAGGAAUAAAGUGAGGCACGUGUGCCUUUUUGUAUGUACUUUAUGAAUAAGGAUCGGCUAACUCCGUGCCAGCAGCCGCGGUAAUACGGAGGAUCCGAGCUUUAUCCGGAUUUAUUGGGGUUAAAGGGAGCGUAGAUGGGUUGUUAAGUCAGUUGUGAAAGUAUGCGGCUCAACCGUAAAAUUGCAAUUGAUACUGGCAGGCUUGAGUACAGUUGAGGUAGGCGGAAUUCGUGGUGUAGCGGUGAAAUGCUUAGAUAUCACGAAGAACUCCGAUUGCGAAGGCAGCUUACUAGACUGCCACUGACAUUGAGGCUCGAAAGUGUGGGUAUCAAACAGGAUUAGAUACCCGUGUAGUC